UUUGUUUCACUUGGUUUUUACUGACCGUAUUCAACCACAAUUCAAUGCGAAAGUCGACUUGACUUUCGACUGAUCAUUAUAGAUUAUUGUUACACACUGUCACAUCUCCUUAUUCAAUAUCUAUUAAUCUCAGAGUCCCACGUCCCAGACAUUGUGUGUGUUGUCUUGUCAGGUUAUGUUCAUAGAUCAUGGCAAUGGGCAUACCCAGUUUCCAACAAAAAGUUCCUGAUCUGAUGCUUCAGCUAGCUUUGUGGCCCAACAAUGGUGGGUGGAUUAUAAACAAGGUGAUAACAUUUCUUUUUUUUACAGUUCCUCUUGAGUCUUGACUUCAUGGAUCAUGAGCAUUCGUCAAUUCCCAGUUUUCACAAAAAGGAACAGUUAAUUCUGUACAGCUAUUCAUGGACUGAAUCUGUUGGUGUGGUGGUGGGGGUCACUCCCAACGACUGCAACCACCCCUGCUCUCAUAGGUUUUUAUGUGUAAUGACUUGUGGUCAUGGAUGAUACGGUGAUUAUUUUGGCGGAGGAGAAUCUUGUAUGAAUGUGGCAUGGCAUUCUAGCUCAAUCUGCUCAAUCAGCAGUUCAAUUUGUUCCUCAAUCCAUUUGGUUUCAACAUUCAAUCAGUGAUCCAAGUUACGACAUAACGGAUGUUUCUUUCUACUCAACAAAAUAAGGUUAGAAUCAUUUAUAAACUUUCAUUGUGUUUCGUUAUUAGCUUUUAAAAGUGGGCUUGUUAGUCGUGUUAGUCUGACAAGUUUUUCAAGGUGAUCGUUUAUCACAUGCCCUUUUUUGGAA